rnacentral:rRNA from 1 species
UACGUAGGGUGCAAGCGUUAAUCGGAAUUACUGGGCGUAAAGCGUGCGCAGGCGGUUCUAUAAGACAGAUGUGAAAUCCCCGGGCUCAACCUGGGAACUGCAUUUGUGACUGUAGAGCUGGAGUGCGGCAGAGGGGGAGGGAAUUCCGCGUGUAGCAGUGAAAUGCGUAGAUAUGCGGAGGAACACCGAUGGCGAAGGCAAUCCCCUGGGCCUGCACUGACGCUCAGGUGCGAAAGCCAGGGGAGCGAACGGG